GGGGAUUUAGCUCAGUGGUAGAGCGCCUGCCUAGGAAGCGCAAGGCCCUGGGUUCGGUCCCCAGCUCCG
rfam:Rattus norvegicus chromosome 3, whole genome shotgun sequence.